rnacentral:tRNA from 1 species
UAGCUCAGUUGGUAGAGCAUGGCACUUGCAACACCAGGGUAGUGGGUUCAAUUCCCAC